rnacentral:lncRNA from 10 species
AUUUUUUUAACCUCUCACAUCAUAAGUAUAUUUUCUUUACUAUUUUAUAAGGAACUGACUUUCUUUCUAUGUUCUUGUUCUGUAGUGUGAAGUCCUUUGUGAAUGAGCCACAUUUUUUACUCAUUCAAGUCCCUACAGCAUAAUCACAUAGAUUAACUCACUUGGAUCGUUAAUUGUUACACUGUAAGAACUCCACAAACUUGAUCAGAGAGAUUCCACUUAUUUCAAAGUUACUGAGGCCAGAACAGUUCUCCCUCAUCCCUUCAAGAAGGACACUUCUAUAAAAGACGGAGUUGGUUGUACUUCCCAUGAAACCAUUAUUGAAGACACACAUUUGCAUAACAGCAAUGAGAGAAAAAGUGAG